GACGAACGCUGGCGGCGUGCCUAAUACAUGCAAGUCGAGCGGACGGAUGGGAGCUUGCUCCCAGACCGUCAGCGGCGGACGGGUGAGUAACACGUGGGCAACCUGCCUGUAAGACUGGGAUAACUCCGGGAAACCGGGGCUAAUACCGGAUAACUCUUUCCCUCACAUGAGGGAAAGCUGAAAGAUGGCAUCUCGCUAUCACUUACAGAUGGGCCCGCGGCGCAUUAGCUAGUUGGUGAGGUAACGGCUCACCAAGGCGACGAUGCGUAGCCGACCUGAGAGGGUGAUCGGCCACACUGGGACUGAGGCACGGCCCAGACUCCUACGGGAGGCAGCAGUAGGGAAUCUUCCGCAAUGGACGAAAGUCUGACGGAGCAACGCCGCGUGAGUGAUGAAGGUUUUCGGAUCGUAAAACUCUGUUGUCAGGGAAGAACAAGUACCGGAGUAACUGCCGGUACCUUGACGGUACCUGACCAGAAAGCCACGGCUAACUACGUG
rnacentral:rRNA from 1 species